rnacentral:antisense_RNA from 1 species
AGUUUUGGCGGCUCGAACGGGAAGGCGCAAGCCUUGCCGGUUCUCGUCAGAGCUUCCCGGUCUUCCAACCCGUUCGAGCUGCCGCCACC